GACGAACGCUGGCGGCGUGCUUAACACAUGCAAGUCGAACGAAGUGGCGAACGGGUGAGUAACGCGUAAUCAACCUGCUCUUCAGAGGGGGACAACAGUUGGAAACGACUGCUAAUACCGCAUACUGAAGGAGGGGAUUGCGUCUGAUUAGCUAGUUGGAGGGGUAACGGCCCACCAAGGCGAUGAUCAGUAGCCGGGCUGAGGAGAUGGACGGCCACAUUGGGACUGGGGCACGGCCCAGACUCCUACGGGGGGCAGCAGUGGGGGAACAUCCGCAAUGGACGAAAGUCUGGCGGAGCAACGCCGCGGUGGUGAUGACGGCCUUCGGGUUGUAAAGCUCUGUUAAUCGGGACGCGGUACCGGAAUAGAAAGCCACGGCUAACUACGUGCCAGCAGCCGCGGUAAUAC
rnacentral:rRNA from 1 species